rnacentral:rRNA from 1 species
UACGUAGGGUGCGAGCGUUGUCCGGAAUUAUUGGGCGUAAAGCGCUCGUAGGCGGUUUGUCGCGUCGGCCGUGAAAACUUGGGGCUUAACUCCAAGCUUGCGGUCGAUACGGGCAGACUUGAGUUCGGCAGGGGAGACUGGAAUUCCUGGUGUAGCGGUGAAAUGCGCAGAUAUCAGGAGGAACACCGGUGGCGAAGGCGGGUCUCUGGGCCGAUACUGACGCUGAGGAGCGAAAGCGUGGGGAGCGAACAGG